rnacentral:rRNA from 1 species
CAGUCGCCGCGGGAAUACGAAGGGGGCUAGCGUUGCUCGGAAUGACUGGGCGUAAAGGGCGCGUAGGCGGCGAUCAAAGUCAGGCGUGAAAUUCCUGGGCUCAACCUGGGGGCUGCGCUUGAUACUUGGUUGCUUGAGUGGGGAAGAGGGUCGUGGAAUUCCCAGUGUAGAGGUGAAAUUCGUAGAUAUUGGGAAGAACACCGGUGGCGAAGGCGGCGACCUGGUCCUUGACUGACGCUGAGGCGCGAAAGCGUGGGGAGCAAACAGGAUUAGAUACCCCCGUAGUCCCUGUCUCUUAUAC